rnacentral:pre_miRNA from 1 species
GUACUACUCCCUCCGUCCCAAAAUUCUUGUCUUAGAUUUGUCUAAGUACGAAUGUAUCAAGUCACAUUUUAGUAUUAGAUACACCCGUAUCUAGACAAAUCUAAGACAAAAUUUUUGGGACGGAGGGAGUAGGAA